CAGCCGCCGCGGGAAUACGGAGGGUGCAAGCGUUAAUCGGAAUUACUGGGCGUAAAGCGUGCGUAGGCGGUUCGUUAAGUCUGUUGUGAAAGCCCCGGGCUCAACCUGGGAAUGGCAAUGGAUACUGGCGAGCUAGAGUGUGUCAGAGGAUGGUGGAAUUCCACGUGUAGCAGUGAAAUGCGUAGAUAUGUGGAGGAAUACCGAUGGCGAAGGCAGCCCCCUGGGAUAACACUGACGCUCAUGCACGAAAGCGUGGGGAGCAAACAGGAUUAGAUACCCCGGUAGUCCCUGUCUCUUAUAC
rnacentral:rRNA from 1 species